CCGCGUAAAAGGAGUAGUUGGACGAUCAACAGUAUCUGCUCCAGGAAAGCCAAAAGAACGAUCAAAUACCUCCAUCAUCCGGAUUCCUUUCUAAAGCGCUGUAGUACUCUUCGAUCGCCAUGAGCUUUCUAUUCAGCAAGAGAAAAACUCCCGCAGAACUUCUGCGAGAAAAUAAGAGGAUGUUGGAUAAAUCUAUAGAGAAAUAGCGACAUGCAUACAAUGUUAGUAUAAUUAUACUACUGAGGAGUGAGGGCACAUGCAUUCUAAGACCCAAACCAAAAAAUAUGCUUAUAUGGAGUGCUUCCUAUUAUAUUUAUGUUGGAGCAAUAAGUGCGUUUUCACAUCAGCAAUAAUGCUGCUGAUUCUUUUGUCAAUGUUUUUUGUUUUGUUUUGUUUUGGUAGGUGUUUGUAAUAUGAAUAAUUAUAUUUGUUCAAAUACUUUACAACCCAUUUUACAAUAACCAAUGUGAUAGUGUCACUUCAUAGCAUAUUUUUGAUAUCAACCAAUCAUAUAAUACCCCCAAGUUACUUGUAUCUCUUUUGUGCAAUGAAAGAAUCGGAAGUGAUUUCAUAAAUCAAUGGAAGUGCUAGAGUUGUUUUCUUUGGAGGUUGGGCCUUGGUCUUUGUGGUACGCUCUCUGCAGGUCUAAAGUUCAAAUCCUCUUGAGUGCAUACAAUUUAUAGGGGCCAUCAAACUGGGAGAAUUAACCGAGGCUAAUUACAUAGCCUCGUUGAAUCAUAAGGAAACAAGAGUACUUCCUCAUGAGUACUUACAGUUGCCUCUGAGAGGGCCUUUAUCGAGACCUUAAAUGGAUCUUGCCGCACUCCCAUUGCCGGAUAUGCUUACAAGGAUGAGGAUGGCAAUUGCAUAUUUAAAGGGUUUGGUAGCUUCCCCAGAUGGAACCCGUGGAAGAAAAAACUUGAAGCAGUAUGAACUAGCUAGCUAGCUAGCAAUAUCAAAAUGGUGCAGAUGGCAAUUUCUGAUUGGCCAAGAAGUGUGUAACCAGUUGGAGAGACUGUUUGGGUGCAAAAACUGGAACUUCAUGACCCGCACCUCUGAUGGUUACAAACAUAAUCCCAUCAUACACAACUGUCCAACCGCCAACCUAUUCAAUCCAACAUACAUACAAAACAUUCCAGUCAAACGGAGUCCAAUCUUCAAGAACACGCAAUCCAAGCUUUCUCAAUGCGUAUCUAGUUGAGGUUACCGGUACUCUUCCAUCGGUAUCUCCACUGCCAAAGGAAUAAAUACUCUUUGCAUUUUAGACUACAUAUAUGUGGUAGUACUGGCCACAAACUAGUAAAAGUUAAGAGAGUUGAAUGAAUGUAUACAACAUUUUUGGAUUACCUAUAAAUCCAAAUGCGGAGACCCCCAUCGACAAG